rnacentral:rRNA from 1 species
UCCUGGGAUAACACUGACGUUCAUGCCCGAAAGCGUGGGUAGCAAACAGGAUUAGAUACCCUGGUAGUCCACGCCCUAAACGAUGUCGAUUAGCUGUUGGGCAGCAUGACUGCUUAGUAGCGAAGCUAACGCGUGAAAUCGACCGCCUGGGGAGUACGGUCGCAAGAUUAAAACUCAAAGGAAUUGACGGGGACCCGCACAAGCGGUGGAUGAUGUGGAUUAAUUCGAUGCAACGCGAAGAACCUUACCUGGUCUUGACAUGUACGGAACCCUCCAGAGACGGAGGGGUGCCUUCGGGAGCCGUAACACAGGUGCUGCAUGGCUGUCGUCAGCUCGUGUCGUGAGAUGUUGGGUUAAGUCCCGCAACGAGCGCAACCCUUGUCAUUAGUUGCCAUCAUUAAGUUGGGCACUCUAAUGAGACUGCCGGUGACAAGCCGGAGGAAGGUGGGGAUGACGUCAAGUCCUCAUGGCCCUUAUGACCAGGGCUUCACACGUCAUACAAUGGUCGGUACAGAGGGUAGCCAAGCCGCGAGGUGGAGCCAACCUCACAAAACCGAUCGUAGUCCGGAUUGCACUCUGCAACUCGAGUGCAUGAAGUCGGAAUCGCUAGUAAUCGCAGGUCAGCAUACUGCGGUGAAUACGUUCCCGGGUCUUGUACACACCGCCCGUCACACCAUGGGAGUGGGGGAUACCAGAAGUAGGUAGGGUAACCGCAAGGAGCCCGCUUACCACGGUAUGCUUCAUGACUGGGGUGAAGUCGUAACAAGGUAGCCGUAGGGGAACC